rnacentral:rRNA from 1 species
CGCCGGANGCGACCGCUUUUGGAGUUCGAUUANNCCAUGCGAGUCGUGAGCCUUAGGGACUCGGCAUACUGCUCAGUAACACGUGGAUAACCUGCCCUAUCGUCUGGAAUAACCUCGGGAAACUGAGAAUAAGGCCGGAUAGUUCACAAUGCCUGGAACGGUUUGUGAAUCAAGGUAGGAUGGGUCUGCGGCGUAUCAGGUUGUAGGGGGUGUAACGGACCCCCUAGCCCUCGACGCGUACGGGUGUUGGGAGACAUAGCCCGGAGAUGGAUUCUGAGACACGAAUCCAGACCCUACGGGGUGCAGCAGGCGCGAAAACUUCACACUGCAGGAAACUGUGAUGAGGGAACUCCAAGUGUGUGCGUUUUACGUACACUUUUCUGAACUCUUAAUCGGUUCAGGAAUAAGGGCUGGGAAAGACCGGUGCCAGCCGCCGCGGUAAUACCGGCAGCUCAAGUGGUCGUCGCUUUUAUUGGGCCUAAAACGUCCGUAGCCUGUUUGGUAAAUCUGUGGGUAAAUCANCCCGCUUAACGGGUUGAAUUCUGCAGAGACUGCCAGACUAGGGANCGGGAGAGGUGUGGGGUACUCGAGGGGUAGGGGUAAAAUCCUGUCAUCCUUCGAGGACCACCAGUUGCGAAGGCGCCACACUGGAACGGAUUCG